AAAAUGUAUCAAUUUGCCCAUGUGUGGUUUCGUUUUUAUCUUUUCGGUAGCUUUUUCGUUAAUAUUUCAUUAAAUUAUAUACAAAAAACUUCAGAUAUCCAUAUAUAUUUAUCAAAUAUUCACUUUAGUAUCCUUUAAUUUUAACUUUAUCACUGAUUUAAGAAAAAAAAAUAAUGAAAUUGAUAAGAAAAAGCGAAAAAAGAAACCACAUGGGGGCAAAUUGAGACAUUUUAAACCACAAGGGGAGAAAGUGAGAAACUACGAAACCACAGGGGGGGUUUUUGAAGUUUUCCCAAUUAA
rnacentral:lncRNA from 1 species